GAGUUUGAUCUUGGCUCAGAUUGAACGCUGGCGGCAUGCCUUACACAUGCAAGUCGAACGACGGCAGGGGGCAACUCCUGCCGAGUGGCGAACGGGUGAGUACAACAUCGGAACGUGUCCCGUCGUGGGGGAUAACCAGUCGAAAGACUGGCUAAUACCGCAUGAGAUCGAGAGAUGAAAGCGGGGGACCGCAAGGCCUCGCGCGAUGGGAGCGGCCGAUGCCGGAUUAGCUAGUUGGCGGGGUAAAAGCCCACCAAGGCGACGAUCCGUAGCUGGUUUGAGAGAACGACCAGCCACACUGGGACUGAGACACGGCCCAGACUCCUACGGGAGGCAGCAGUGGGGAAUUUUGGACAAUGGGCGCAAGCCUGAUCCAGCCAUGCCGCGUGUGUGAAGAAGGCCUUCGGUUGUAAGCAC
rnacentral:rRNA from 1 species